GAGCGAGGGAGCACCAGUGUGAAGGGGGAAAUGAGAUGGAUUCAGGGCAGAAGUGGUGCUCUGGUGACAGAUGAGGCUAAUGAGGACAAGGACGCCGCGGGAGGGCUGCCCCACAGAAAGUAGCUAAAUAUUGACUCUGGGAGGGUCUACAUGGCCCCCUUCUCGCUGGGAUGGGGGUUCCCUGGAGGCGCCUGGGCUCUUGAGAACAUGAGCCAGAUGGGACUCCGCUGCCUUCCAUCUAGGAAAACACAGUGUGACAAGGACGCAGAGUGAGGGCCAUGUUCCCUGGGGUCCCGCCAGCCUCCGGGUUUUACGAUUCUGAUUGCUAACAGAAGAAAAGUUCCAAAGCCGAAGGUGCUGCUGGCCUGCCCCGAGGACCCCUCCAGUCACAGCUGUCUACUACGACCUGUGCUCUCCACGGAUCCUCACAUCUAAACUCCUCCGAGGCCAGGGGCCGUGGUCUAAUGGCGGAGCUCAGCAGACCACACGGAUGCCACACAACAUACUAGGGAGCCUCCGGCCUGGCCCCCAGCACUGAGGGCUAGCAGAGCCUCUGCAGAAAGAGACGCGUGUGUAAGGAAUUCCCACAUCCCCAGGAGCCAGGGGCUGCACAACUCCAGGAUCAUGCCCCGAUAGGCCUCGGCGGAGUCUCCAGAAAGAGGGAGGGAGGUUCUCAUCAGCUCUACUCAUCAGCAGUGCUGUCCCUGCCCUGCUGGCUCAAUUUGUACUAAUGGGGUCAGGAUUACGGGUUCAAUACCUAUUUGGGCAAUUAGCUUUGCUCUCUUCUCAGCCUCAGACGGAGGCCUGACCCUGGACACUGAGACAGGAAAGGACUUUGCUGAGGUCAUACAGCGGAACAGGAAGGGGGUCAGGAGGCCAAACUCGGCGUGGAAGGGGUGGGCAGUUAUAAGUCAGGAAAGCUCAGGAUGAGAGGAUCUGGGGGCUCCAGGGUGGGCCAGCCCCGAUGCUGCACACACAGGCCCUAGCUGUGGAGUCUUCCCAGCUAGACCAUGUUUCUUCUAAAAGGUGCUGGUGGCCCUGUAGGCUUGUCUUUCCUGUCCUGCAGAAAAGAACAAGCACCUCGUAUCCUCUGACAGACUAUAUAGGUGGGAGAAACCCCUGGCUGCCUUUGGCGAUGAGUGGCCGGGGACGCACGUUAAUCAUUGACAGGGGCUGCUCCAGCUUGCAACAGGGAACUGCAGGGUAAUUACUUCUGGGCUCCAGGCCACACACUCAGUGACAUUAAUGCGGUGGCAACACCUGCCUUCCAGGCUGAGUACAGCAGGGAAACAGGGUCUUCUCAGAGGUUGUGCAGCUGGGGCCAGGAGAGCCGCCUGGGCCACAAGAACCCAGACAGUCCAGAGGGACGUACAUACGCAUGCAAACAUAUGCACACAUACUCAGCAUCAGGGGCAAGACCCAGGGCAGUGGGGUCACAGUCCUGAAGGGUGAAGGGCAGAGCUGAAUGAGUACAGGUCCGAAAAGGCAGAUUUGGGGGCGCCUGGGUGGCAACUUGGGCUCAGGUUAUGAUCUCGCAGUUCGUGAGUUCGAGGCCCACAUCUGGUGAGCUCGAGCCGCGCUUGGGGCUAAGCACUGACAGUGCAGAGCCUGUGUGGGAUUCUCUCUCGCUCCCUCUCUCUCUGCCCUUUGCUCACUCGCACUCUCUCCCUCCUCUCAAAUAAAUAAAUAAAUCUUAAAAAAAAAAAAAAGGCAGAUUUUUAGUGACCUGCUCUUAGUGCUUGCCAACACCCACCCCAGCCCCUUAGCUCCAUCUCCCAGAAACCUACUUACAAGAAAGUGUGCUGAAUGGUUCUCUCUUUCCUUCAAAUCAGCUCAGAUCUGCUUCCUCCAGGAAGCCUUCCCUGACCAUCAAUCCAUAGUGAUCUACCCUAAGAGGCGCUGAAAUCCUAUUCUCAUAUUGCCAGGUAGGUAGUGACCCCCAUCCACCAUAGUGGGUGAAAGCGGUCUUGGGAUGGAGCAUCUGGUCUCUGAGGGGGCGUGACCCCCCCAUCCCCCUCCACCUUGAGCUUGCCCCCCACCAGGCCCAGAAGACAGCGUAUUAGCCAGCCCCAUGUUACGCAUUAAUGUCUGAAAGCCUCUUCACG